rnacentral:rRNA from 1 species
AGGGCGCACGGUGGAUGCCUUGGCACUAGGAGCCGAAGAAGGACGGGACUAACACCGAUAUGC